UCGUGAUCAAAUGAUACAUUGUUACCAAGGACGACAACGUUUAUCAAGUGUUGGGUAUAAAAUACCCCCCAGCCGAAGUUCGUGUCAGGAGUAACCCUCCAGGGAUUCUAUCGACGUCUGACCUUCGACGACAUCUUUUCAAACCUCUUCGACGGCCGAGCCUCCGCAAUGUUCCCGAGUUCUUUCGAUGGGUAAACCCCCACCAAUGUCGAUCGGAUUCUCCACGACGGACGAACUCCAUCCAAGUAUCUACGGUGGUCGACCACCUUCUAGACUUCAUCCGGGCUCCCAUGGGAGUUGGACAUCCGGGCUCCUACGGGAGCCGGACUUCUUCCCUGAACCCCGGGUGCAGGUAGCCUUCGUCCGGGCUCCUACGGG
rnacentral:lncRNA from 1 species